AGGACCCCAGCUAUUGUGUCUCACUUGGAGCUGUGCCAGGAGUGCCCCAGCCUGCUGGUAAACCAUAAUGCCAGGAUGAGCCCAGGCUACAGGACUCCUUAGCCUGACUUAGAUAACUUCAACCACUUCUCAGACCACUGCAAGCAAGUCCUUUGUAGAAGAUGGGUCCCGGGAGAGAGAGAGACACGUGUAAAAAGGAAGACAGACAGACGGAAAGAUGAGCCGGAGGAGAGCGCUCCCGGUGCCCCUGUUCCUGGUAGCAAUGUCUGUCCUCUUGCAUUUCUCACUGAUGGGAAGCCAAGGGCUAGCCAAUGGGGUGUGGAGGGCGCAUACAGUGUGUGUUGACGUACCCACACUCCUGGGCCCAUCACCCCAUCCCAGCCGCCCCCGCCACAGACAGUCACAGACCCCAGCUGUGUUGCCCACUUCCCCUUCUCUGAGCCCUUCAGUGUGUGUCUGAAGCUGUCAUGUCAGCUCCCGCUCCCUCUCCUGGGAGCCCCUGCUCCUGUCCUUGCCCGUGACCCAGAAAGAAACAGUAACCGAGGCCAGCAGUUCACAGACUGCUCAGUCCCACACACACAGCAGCCUCAACCCCCUACGCCUGCAGCCACAGACUCCCCUGAGUUCCCAGAGGCCGCGACCACCAGCUCAGACUGUGCACCCUCCUUGACAGACAGUAGGCUCCAGUGUACGGUUGGCCUUGCUCGCUCGCUCGCUCGCUCGCUUGCUCUUGAACAACAGAGUGACAAAGAUGCCCAGAGCCACCUCAUCUGAGGCGACAACUCUGAGGAGCAGAGAGGAAAUUACCUGGAAAAGGACUGCCUGGGGCUGCACCAAGUAUUGUCUCAUCAGCACCGGGCACCACUGCCAUAGCAUGGAGGAGAGAAGAAACAGACACACAAAAUACCAUCUCCGUCUCUGUGAAGUGAAUUCCAAGGUGAGGAAAGAGAGGCAAGGGGGCCGCCAAGCUAAAGGACACUCGGAGAUGUGUCCGUCAACUCAGUGUGAUGAAUGGGAUGGUUACACUCUGCUCAACGUCUUUAAAACAAAUCUUUGAAAGAUUUGCUUCAAACAUUGGUAGUGAAAUGAGACAGCGUCUACCAGGAACCCAGCACCGCAUUCCUGUCUCUGCAUCCUGACUAGAGAUGCUGGGAAGCCAGCCUCCUCAUCCUUCUGCCGCCAUGCCUUAGCUGCUGGACAGACUGCAUCCCUCGGAACCCAGAAAACAAACCCACCCCCCU